rnacentral:rRNA from 1 species
UACAGAGGGUGCGAGCGUUAAUCGGAAUUACUGGGCGUAAAGCGUGCGUAGACGGUUAUCUAAGUCGGAUGUGAAAGCCCCGGGCUCAACCUGGGAAUUGCAUUCGAGACUGAAUAGCUAGGGUGCGGUAGAGGGAAGCGGAAUUUCCGGUGUAGCGGUGAAAUGCGUAGAUAUCGGGAGGAACACCAGUGGCGAAGGCGGCUUCCUGGACCUGAUCUGACACUGAGGAGCGAAAGCGUGGGGAGCGAUCCGG